CGGCCAAAUUCCAGCUGCGCUAAUUGUAUUGUGUUCACAGAGCUCACAAGCUAUCAGAAAGUUGUAUGGCAACCACCUCCGGCGCCAAAUAGAACUGGCAGACAUAGACAUUCAGUACAAGAAGAAAAAGAUGGAAAAUCUUGCACUGGAGUCCGAAAUAAAAAAGAGGACAAUUAGGAAACUGGACCUUGAAAUAAAAAAACUUGAGAGGGAGCUCCAAGAAGAUGACACAGCUCAAAAUAAAAAUUAGCAAUCAGUACAACCAAGUCAUGGUUAUAAGGCACCGGCCUCUUUUGCCCACCCCCCCAGCACCAGGUGUGGCCACUAGCCUAUAUGAAGGCCCAAAAUUGUGUGUUCCUUUCUGCUCUGACAAUGGCAUGCCCAUUCUUGCGAGAUGUGGUGGAUGAAGAAGCACUUGUGCUGAGGAGAGCCUUCAGGCGAGAAAGGGUCUUCAGG